rnacentral:misc_RNA from 1 species
UUAAGUUCAGCGGGUAGUCCUACCUGAUUUGAGGUCAGAGUCAAAAAUUGCCCGAGGGCGAUUGUAAGCAGUCAUCACAACCUUCACCGACGAAACUUAUUACGCCGACUACGGUGCUAUCCCGCUAAGUCUUUUGAGAGGAGCCAUUCAGAAUGGCAACCUCCAAAUCCAAGCCAUUAAGAAACCCUAAUGGUUGAGAU